rnacentral:rRNA from 1 species
AUUGAACGCUGGCGGCAGGCCUAACACAUGCAAGUCGAGCGAGAGGCGGACGGGUGCGUAAUGUAUGGGGACUGCCCGAUUGAGGGGGAUCACUACUGGAAACGGUGUCUAAUACCGCAUACUCUCGGAUACCCCAUAUGGGAUUAGCUAGUAGGUUGGGUAAAGGCUCACCUAGGCGACGAUCCCUAGCUGGUUUGAGAGGAUGAUCAGCCAACCUGGAACUGAGACACGGCCCAGACUCCUACGGAGGCAUGAGUGGGGAAUGUUGGGCAAUGGACGCAAGUCUGACCGAGCCACGCCGCGUGAAUGAAGAAGGUUUUCGGGUUGUAAAACUAGGUUGGUAGAGAAUCGGUAUCUAACGAGAAAGCCACGGCUAACUACGUGCCAGCAGCCGCGGUAAUAC